GAUGAAGAACGCAGCGAAAUGCGAUACUUGGUGUGAAUUGCAGAAUCCCGUGAACCAUCGAGUCUUUGAACGCAAGUUGCGCCCGAAGCCAUUAGGCCGAGGGCACGCCUGCCUGGGCGUCACACGUCGUUGCCCCCCCAUCUACUCCUUCGGGAUUGCGGGGGGCAGAUGAUGGCCUCUCGUGCGCCUCGUCGCGCGGUUGGCCUAAAUGCCAAGUCCUCGGCGACGCACGCCACGACAAUCGGUGGUUGCGAAACCUCGGUUGCCUGUCGUGUGCGGUCGUCGCGCAUCGAGGGCUCGAAAAAAUUGCCGGGCUUCGGCUCGACUUUCAACGCGACCCCAGGUCAGGCGGGGUUACCCGCUGAAUUUAAGCAUAUCAAUAAGCGGAGGA
rnacentral:misc_RNA from 1 species